rnacentral:rRNA from 1 species
GGGCGUUAAGUUGCAGGGUAUAGACCCGAAACCCGGUGAUCUAGCCAUGGGCAGGUUGAAGGUUGGGUAACACUAACUGGAGGACCGAACCGACUAAUGUUGAAAAAUUAGCGGAUGACUUGUGGCUGGGGGUGAAAGGCCAAUCAAACCGGGAGAUAGCUGGUUCUCCCCGAAAGCUAUUUAGGUAGCGCCUCGUGAACUCAUCUUCGGGGGUAGAGCACUGUUUCGGCUAGGGGGUCAUCCCGACUUACCAACCCGAUGCAAACUACGAAUACCGAAGAAUGUUAUCACGGGAGACACACGGCGGGUGCUAACGUCCGUCGUGAAGAGGGAAACAACCCAGACCGCCAGCUAAGGUCCCAAAGUCAUGGUUAAGUGGGAAACGAUGUGGGAAGGCACAGACAGCCAGGAUGUUGGCUUAGAAGCAGCCAUCAUUUAAAGAAAGCGUAAUAGCUCACUGGUCGAGUCGGCCUGCGCGGAAGAUGUAACGGGGCUAAACCAUGCACCGAAGCUGCGGCAGCGACACUAUGUGUUGUUGGGUAGGGGAGCGUUCUGUAAGCCUGCGAAGGUGUGCUGUGAGGCAUGCUGGAGGUAUCAGAAGUGCGAAUGCUGACAUAAGUAACGAUAAAGCGGGUGAAAAGCCCGCUCGCCGGAAGACCAAGGGUUCCUGUCCAACGUUAAUCGGGGCAGGGUGAGUCGACCCCUAAGGCGAGGCCGAAAGGCGUAGUCGAUGGGAAACAGGUUAAUAUUCCUGUACUUGGUGUUACUGCGAAGGGGGGACGGAGAAGGCUAUGUUAGCCGGGCGACGGUUGUCCCGGUUUAAGCAUGUAGGCUGGU